GUACUUCCACUGGGGAGACACCAUGAUAAAGACAGUGGUUCUUCCCACCGUGAGUGUCACUCCUUACACAGAGGUGUGCUGACCCCUGGGGUUUACCAAAAGAUGGGAAGCUCAGCUGUGUAAUUUGUGAUCACAGAAGAUUCUCUGG
ensembl:snRNA U1 U1 spliceosomal RNA